rnacentral:lncRNA from 1 species
AUUGAUGCAACCACGAUCCUCACAGUUGCAAAAAGUGAAGCUCUCAAGUUCUGGAUAUGUAUCAACUCUGAAACAAUGGUUGUUACAGCCAAUUAUGCAGAACAACAGAACAGCAACAAUUUUCUACUGCACUGGGAAAUGUUUACUGCUGCCAUAGUCACUUUCAAUCUAAGCUUUGCCUUCACCAAUCCUCUUUCUAAUAUGCUACCAGCAAUGCAAAGCCAUCUGGAACUGAUCUACAACCACAAAAAUACUCACAAGAACCAUCAACCAUCAAUUAAGACUGCAGAA